AUUGAACGCUGGCGGCAUGCUUUACACAUGCAAGUCGAACGGUAACAGGCCGCAAGGUGCUGACGAGUGGCGAACGGGUGAGUAAUGCAUCGGAACGUGCCCAGUCGUGGGGGAUAACUACUCGAAAGAGUAGCUAAUACCGCAUACGAUCUAUGGAUGAAAGCGGGGGACCGUAAGGCCUCGCGCGAUUGGAGCGGCCGAUGUCAGAUUAGGUAGUUGGUGGGGUAAAGGCUCACCAAGCCAACGAUUUUUAGCUGGUCUGAGAGGACGACCAGCCACACUGGGACUGAGACACGGCCCAGACUCCUACGGGAGGCAGCAGUGGGGAAUUUUGGACAAUGGGCGCAAGCCUGAUCCAGCAAUGCCGCGUGCAGGAAGAAGGCCUUCGGGUUGUAAACUGCUUUUGUACGGAACGAAACGGCUCUGGUUAAUACCCGGGGCUAAUGACGGUACCGUAAGAAUAAGCACCGGCUAACUACGUG
rnacentral:rRNA from 1 species